ACAUUAAAAGAGUGCGUAACAGCUCACUAGUCGAGAGGUCCUGCGCCGAAAAUGUCCGGGGCUAAACACAACACCGAAGCCUAGGAAUGUAGUAAUACAUUGGUAGAGGAGCAUUCUUAGAGGCGUAGAAGCCAUACCGAAAGGAAUGGUGGAGUAAUAAGAAGAGAGAAUGCCGGAAUGAGUAGCGAGAAAGAGGUGAGAAUCCUCUUGGCCGAAUAUCUAAGGUUUCCUGAGUAAAGCUGAUCUACUCAGGGUAAGUCGGGGCCUAAGGCAAGGUCGAAAGACGUAGUCGAUGGAUAACAGGUACAGAUUCCUGUACUACAUAUAAUCAGAACUGUGGGGACACGGAGACUAAAACCGAACCCGGGAGGACAAAAACCGGGGCAAGCGAAGUACCUGUAUGGGAGGAAAAACCACCAUACAAGGGGAAUGCGUGAUGCGUACCGAAAUUUAGUAGGGAAGUCGGUUAGGGAGCCGUCAAGAAAAGCCGCUAUUGUGUUAUAUGUACCCGUACCGCAAACCGACACAGGUAGAUGAGGAGAGAAUCCUAAGGCCGGCGGGAGAAGCAUUGUUAAGGAACUCGGCAAAAUGACCCCGUAACUUCGGGAGAAGGGGUGCCCAGGCAACUGGGCCGCAGAGAAAAGGCUCAAGCAACUGUUUAGCAAAAACACAGGUCUAUGCGAAACCGUAAGGUAAAGUAUAUGGGCUGACGCCUGCCCGGUGCUGGAAGGUUAAGAGGAGAGGUUAGCGCAAGCGAAGCUUUGAAUUGAAGCCCCAGUAAACGGCGGCCGUAACUAUAACGGUCCUAAGGUAGCGAAAUUCCUUGUCGGGUAAGUUCCGACCCGCACGAAAGGCGUAAUGAUUUGAGCGCUGUCUCAACAAUGCACCCGGUGAAAUUGAAGUGCCAGUGAAGAUGCUGGUUACCCGCGCCAGGACGGAAAGACCCCAUGGAGCUUUACUCCAGCUUGAUACUGGGAUUCGGUAAUGUAUGCACAGGAUAGGUGGGAGACUGAGAGGAUAGUACUUCGGUAUUAUCGGAGUCGCUGUUGGGAUACCACCCUUAUGUUAUUGGAUUUCUAACCUUAGGCCGUAAGCCGGUCAAGGGACAAUGUCAGGUGGGGAGUUUGACUGGGGCGGUCGCCUCCGAAAGAGUAUCGGAGGCGCUCAAAGGUUCCCUCAGGAUGGUUGGAAACCAUCCAAAGAGUGUAAAGGCAUAAGGGAGCCUGACUGCGAGGUUGACGGACCAAGCAGAGUAGAAAUACGGACUUAGUGAUCCGGUGGUAUGAAAGUGGGAUUGCCAUCGCUCAACGGAUAAAAGCUACCCUGGGGAUAACAGGCUGAUCUCCCCCAAGAGUUCACAUCGACGGGGAGGUUUGGCACCUCGAUGUCGGCUCAUCGCAUCCUGGGGCUGAAGUCGGUCCCAAGGGUUGGGCUGUUCGCCCAUUAAAGCGGUACGCGAGCUGGGUUCAGAACGUCGUGAGACAGUUCGGUCCCUAUCCGGCG
rnacentral:rRNA from 1 species